rnacentral:rRNA from 1 species
UACGUAGGGUGCGAGCGUUGUCCGGAAUUACUGGGCGUAAAGAGCUCGUAGGUGGUUUGUCGCGUUGUUCGUGAAAACUCACAGCUUAACUGUGGGCGUGCGGGCGAUACGGGCAGACUAGAGUACUGCAGGGGAGACUGGAAUUCCUGGUGUAGCGGUGGAAUGCGCAGAUAUCAGGAGGAACACCGGUGGCGAAGGCGGCAUCCUGGACCAACACUGACGCUGAGGAGCGAAAGCCAGGGGAGCAAACGGG